rnacentral:lncRNA from 1 species
GCUCAUAGCCAGAGUACUGAAUAGAUUAAGCAAGUUGUAAGGAUACCCGCUGAGAGGGUUGUUCAGGUUGGUCCAGGUUGCGCAGACCCGCAUUGUGGUGGCACCAACGAGCCUGACAGCACUUUCUAAAAGACAGCGUGCAAAGAGACACGGCCAAACAAAUAGGCUGAAGCUUUAACCUACCUCGGAAAUGUUUGCUCGCUUCUAAAACGCCCUCCUGAUCCUGAACAACCUCUCAGCUCUCCACGAAAGCAGGGACCGCAGCUCGCAGAAGCACAGCAUCUCCCCUGAGCAAGCCAACGGCAGGAGCAGCGGCAAGCACAGAGGUGAUGGGUUUCUUCGCAGGCGCACACACAUCACACCGGGAUAUAAGAUACCUGAGGACUGUUUCUUGUUUGCAGACUGCUGCAAGACAGAGGCGUAAUCAUCUAUUGGCCUCUCUGCUGAGAUUGCCAGGGCGGAUAAGCAAGGGUYGAGCAGAGUAGGAGGUCCGGCAGUGUGGAAAAUCUACACGCCAGAGCCAGACAAGGGGGAAGAGGAGAGGAGCGCUGUUGAAGUCUGAUUUGCAGAAAAGGCAAGUGUUGAGUUUUUAUUUAUGUGGAUGGUUUCAGUUUCAGAUGAAUUGGUGCAGUUGUUCACACAAUCAAUGACCAAUAUUCCGGGGGUUUAAGGCGCUUUGCAAAGUUAAAAGCAGUCGAAGUAGAAAAGAUCCAGUAGGAAUAUUGCAGGGGAGGUCGAAGAAUGGGAUAAAUCUGGCUUACUGUGUGGAGGUGUGAUUUAUUAUCUGUUUGCAGAAAUAAAUGAWUUUAUCACAUGGAUGUUAUUAGU